rnacentral:rRNA from 1 species
GACGAACGCUGGCGGCGUGCUUAACACAUGCAAGUCGAACGGAAAGGCCCUGCUUUUGUGGGGUGCUCGAGUGGCGAACGGGUGAGUAACACGUGAGUAACCUGCCCUUGACUUUGGGAUAACUUCAGGAAACUGGGGCUAAUAACGGAUAGGAGCUCCUGCUGCAUGGUGGGGGUUGGAAAGGUUCGGCGGUUGGGGAUGGACUCGCGGCGUAUCAGCUUGUUGGGGGGGUAGUGGCUUGCCAAGGCUUUGACGGGUAGCCGGCCUGAGAGGGGGACCGGCCACAUUGGGACUGAGAUACGGCCCAGACUCCUACGGGAGGCAGCAGUGGGGAAUAUUGCACAAUGGGCGGAAGCCUGAUGCAGCAACGCCGCGUGCGGGAUGACGGCCUUCGGGUUGUAAACCGCUUUCGCCUGUGACGAAGCGUGAGUGACGGUAAUGGGUAAAGAAGCACCGGCUAACUACGUG